UACGGAGGGUGCGAGCGUUGUCCGGAAUCAUUGGGCGUAAAGGGCGCGUAGGUGGCGGGACAAGCGUGCGGUGAAAGCUCGGGGCUCAACCCCGAGUCGGCCGUGCGAACUGUUUUGCUUGAGCACUGUAGAGGCAGGCGGAAUUCCGGGUGUAGCGGUGGAAUGCGUAGAGAUCCGGAAGAACACCGGUGGCGAAGGCGGAUCUCUGGGCCGUAACUGACGCUGAGGAGCGAAAGCAUGGGGAGCGAACAGG
rnacentral:rRNA from 1 species